rnacentral:rRNA from 1 species
UACGGAGAGAGCCAGCGUUGUUCGGAAUUACUGGGCGUAAAGCGCACGUAGGCGGCCUUGUAAGUUAGAGGUGAAAGCCCGGGGCUCAACUCCGGAACUGCCUUUAAGACUACAUCGCUUGAAUACUGGAGAGGUGAGUGGAAUUCCGAGUGUAGCGGUGAAAUUCGUAGAUAUUCUGAAGAACACCAGUGGCGAAGGCGGCUGACUGGACAUGUAUUGACGCUGAGGUGCGAAAGCGUGGGGAGCAAACAGG